ACGAACGCUGGCGGCGUGCUUAACACAUGCAAGUCGAACGGAAAGGCCCUGCUUGCAGGGUACUCGAGUAGCGAACGGGUGAGUAACACGUGGGUGAUCUGCCCUGCACUUCGGGAUAAGCCUGGGAAACUGGGUCUAAUACCGGAUAGGAGCCAUUUUUAGUGUGAUGGUUGGAAAGUUUUUUCGGUGUAGGAUGAGCUCGCGGCCUAUCAGCUUGUUGGUGGGGUAAUGGCCUACCAAGGCGGCGACGGGUAGCCGGCCUGAGAGGGUGGACGGCCACAUUGGGACUGAGAUACGGCCCAGACUCCUACGGGAGGCAGCAGUGGGGAAUAUUGCACAAUGGGCGCAAGCCUGAUGCAGCGACGCCGCGUGGGGGAUGACGGCCUUCGGGUUGUAAACUCCUUUCGCUAGGGACGAAGCUUUUUGUGACGGUACCUAGAUAAGAAGCACCGGCUAACUACGUG
rnacentral:rRNA from 1 species